rnacentral:rRNA from 1 species
CAGCGCCGCGGGAAUACGAAGGGGGCUAGCGUUGUUCGGAAUUACUGGGCGUAAAGCGCACGUAGGCGGACAUUUAAGUCAGGGGUGAAAUCCCGGGGCUCAACCCCGGAACUGCCUUUGAUACUGGGUGUCUAGAGUAUGGAAGAGGUGAGUGGAAUUCCGAGUGUAGAGGUGAAAUUCGUAGAUAUUCGGAGGAACACCAGUGGCGAAGGCGGCUCACUGGUCCAUUACUGACGCUGAGGUGCGAAAGCGUGGGGAGCAAACAGGAUUAGAUACCCCAGUAGUCCCUGUCUCUUAUACA